GUGGGGAAUAUUGGACAAUGGGCGAAAGCCUGAUCCAGCCAUGCCGCGUGUGUGAAGAAGGUCUUCGGAUUGUAAAGCACUUUAAGUUGGGAGGAAGGGCAGUAAGUUAAUACCUUGCUGUUUUGACGUUACCGAUAGAAUAAGCACCGGCUAACUUCGUGCCAGCAGCCGCGGUAAUACGAAGGGUGCAAGCGUUAAUCGGAAUUACUGGGCGUAAAGCGCGCGUAGGUGGUUUUGUAAGUUGGAGGUGAAAUCCCGGGGCUCAACCUGAGAACUGCCUUAGAAACUGCAUGACUAGAGUACGGUAGAGGGUAGUGGAAUUUCCUGUGUAGCGGUGAAAUGCGUAGAUAUAGGAAGGAACACCAGUGGCGAAGGCGACUACCUGGACUGAUACUGACACUGAGGUGCGAAAGCGUGGGGAGCAAACAGGAUUAGAUACCCGAGUAGUCC
rnacentral:rRNA from 1 species